rnacentral:rRNA from 1 species
UACGGAGGGUGCAAACGUUGCUCGGAAUCAUUGGGCGUAAAGCGCACGUAGGCGGUCCGGUAAGUCGGGAGUGAAAGCCCUCGGCUCAACCGAGGAAGUGCUUUCGAAACUACCGGACUUGAGUAUGGAAGAGGGUCGCGGAAUUCCCGGUGUAGAGGUGAAAUUCGUAGAUAUCGGGAGGAACACCAGUGGCGAAGGCGGCGACCUGGGCCAAUACUGACGCUGAGGUGCGAAAGCGUGGGGAGCAAACAGG